rnacentral:rRNA from 1 species
AUGAACGCUGGCGGCGUGCCUAAUACAUGCAAGUCGAGCGAACGGACGAGAAGCUUGCUUCUCUGAUGUUAGCGGCGGACGGGUGAGUAACACGUGGAUAACCUACCUAUAAGACUGGGAUAACUUCGGGAAACCGGAGCUAAUACCGGAUAAUAUUUUGAACCGCAUGGUUCAAAAGUGAAAGACGGUCUUGCUGUCACUUAUAGAUGGAUCCGCGCUGCAUUAGCUAGUUGGUAAGGUAACGGCUUACCAAGGCAACGAUGCAUAGCCGACCUGAGAGGGUGAUCGGCCACACUGGAACUGAGACACGGUCCAGACUCCUACGGGAGGCAGCAGUAGGGAAUCUUCCGCAAUGGGCGAAAGCCUGACGGAGCAACGCCGCGGGAGUGAUGAAGGUCUUCGGAUCGUAAAACUCUGUUAUUAGGGAAGAACAUAUGUGUAAGUAACUGUGCACAUCUUGACGGUACCUAAUCAGAAAGCCACGGCUAACUACGU